rnacentral:rRNA from 1 species
UACGAAGGGGGCUAGCGUUGUUCGGAAUCACUGGGCGUAAAGGGCGCGUAGGCGGCUUUGUAAGUCGGGGGUGAAAGCCUGUGGCUCAACCACAGAAUUGCCUUCGAUACUGCAUGGCUUGAGACCGGAAGAGGUAAGUGGAACUGCGAGUGUAGAGGUGAAAUUCGUAGAUAUUCGCAAGAACACCAGUGGCGAAGGCGGCUUACUGGUCCGGUUCUGACGCUGAGGCGCGAAAGCUAGGGGAGCAAACGGG